UGCGAUCAGAGGGACAAAGACCAGGAGCAGCUCUCAGGGGGAGGUCAACAUGUUCAUGGUGACAGAUGUGGAACCAAGCUUGUGCCACUACAAAGAGCGGGUGUUUUUGUAGCCGUGUUGCCACUGCUGUGAUGGAUGGUGGAAAACACUGAUAGUCAAGGGAAGAACACUCAAUGUACGUCACAACAAUGUCAACAACACAUACUGUCGGUUGAUGGACAUAUAUCGAGACUAC